AUGGGAACGCGAAGAACCUUACCUAGACUUGACAUCUCCUGAAUAGUGUAGAGAUACAUGAAGCCCUUCGGGGCAGGAAGACAGGUGGUGCAUGGUUGUCGUCAGCUCGUGUCGUGAGAUGUUGGGUUAAGUCCCGCAACGAGCGCAACCCUUAUUACUAGUUGCUACCAUUAAGUUGAGCACUCUAGUGAGACUGCCCAGGUUAACCGGGAGGAAGGCGGGGAUGACGUCAAAUCAUCAUGCCCCUUAUGUCUAGGGCAACACACGUGCUACAAUGGUGAGUACAGAUAGAUGCGAUACCGCAAGGUGGAGCCAAACUCUAAAACUCAUCCCAGUUCGGAUUGUAGGCUGCAACUCGCCUACAUGAAGUUGGAGUUGCUAGUAAUCGCGAAUCAGAAUGCUACGGUGAAUACGUUCCCGGGUCUUGUACACACCG
rnacentral:rRNA from 1 species